rnacentral:rRNA from 1 species
CAGUUGGGCACUCUAAGGUGACUGACCGGCUAAAAGUCGGAGGAAGGUGGGGAUGACGUCAAAUCAUCAUGCCCCUUAUGACCUGGGCUACACACGUGCUACAAUGGGCGGUACAAAGGGUCGCGAACCCGCGAGGGGGAGCCAAUCCCAAAAAGCCGCUCUCAGUUCGGAUUGCAGGCUGCAACUCGCCUGCAUGAAGCCGGAAUCGCUAGUAAUCGCGGAUCAGCAUGCCGCGGUCGAAUACGUUCCCGGGCCUU